rnacentral:rRNA from 1 species
AGAGUUUGAUCCUGGCUCAGAUUGAACGCUGGCGGCAGGCCUAACACAUGCAAGUCGAGCGGCAGCGGGAAAGUAGCUUGCUACUUUUGCCGGCGAGCGGCGGACGGGUGAGUAAUGCCUGGGGAUCUGCCCAGUCGAGGGGGAUAACUACUGGAAACGGUAGCUAAUACCGCAUACGCCCUACGGGGGAAAGCAGGGGACCUUCGGGCCUUGCGCGAUUGGAUGAACCCAGGUGGGAUUAGCUAGUUGGUGAGGUAAUGGCUCACCAAGGCGACGAUCCCUAGCUGGUCUGAGAGGAUGAUCAGCCACACUGGAACUGAGACACGGUCCAGACUCCUACGGGAGGCAGCAGUGGGGAAUAUUGCACAAUGGGGGAAACCCUGAUGCAGCCAUGCCGCGUGUGUGAAGAAGGCCUUCGGGUUGUAAAGCACUUUCAGCGAGGAGGAAAGGUCAGUAGCUAAUAUCUGCUGGCUGUGACGUACUCGCAGAAGA